UACGGAGGGGGCGAGCGUUAUUCGGAAUCAUUGGGCGUAAAGGGCGCGUAGGCGGCCAGGCAAGUCAGGGGUGAAAUCCCUCGGCUCAACCGAGGAAUUGCCUCUGAAACUGCCUGGCUCGAGGCCGGGAGAGGGUAGUGGAAUUCCCAGUGUAGCGGUGAAAUGCGUAGAUAUUGGGAGGAACACCAGUGGCGAAGGCGGCUACCUGGACCGGUUCUGACGCUGAGGCGCGAAAGCGUGGGGAGCAAACAGG
rnacentral:rRNA from 1 species